GGUUUGAUCCUGGCUCAGAUUCGGGCAGGAUGCUUUACAUGCAGUGAACAACGCUGGACUUCGGUCUGGUGGCGAGUGGCGAACGGUGAGUAACAAUCGGAACGUGCCUAGUAGCGGGGGAUAACUACGCGAAAGCGUAGCUAAUACAUACAUGGGGAAAGCGGGGACCUUCGGGCCUCGCACUAUUAGAGCGGCCGAUAUCGGAUUAGCUAGUUGGUGGGGUAACGGCUCACCAAGGCGACGAUCCGUAGCUGGUUGAGAGGACGACCAGCCACACUGGGACUGAGACACGACUGAAUACGGGAGGCAACGGUGGGAAUUUUGGACAAUGGGGGAAACCCCUGAAUUCGGCUAUCCCGCGCAUUAUUUGAUGAAGCGCUGGUUAUCGCCUUUGGCGGAAAAAAGCAGCUGCAGGAUAAUACCCCGUGCAACUGACGGCUUACCUGCAGAAUAAGCACCGGCUAACUACGUGCCAGCAGCCGCGGUAAUACGUAGGGUGCAAGCGUUAAUCGGAAUUACUGGGCGUAAAGCGUCGCAGGCGGUUUCGGGCGAAAUCGUGAAAUCCCGAAACGCUUUGGAACUGCAUUUUAACUACCGAGCUAGAGUGUAUCAGGGAGGUGGAAUUCCGCGUGUAGCAGUGAAAUGCACGUAGAUAUGCGGAGGAACACCGAUGGCGAAGGCAACCUCCUGGGAUAACACUGGCACUCCAUGCACGAAAGCGUGGGGAGCAAAACAGGAUUAUACCCUGGUAGUCCGCCCUAACGUGUCAACUAGCUGUUGGGGCGCUGGUUGCUUGGUAGCUGCAGCUAACGCGUGAAGUUGACCGCCUGGGAGUACAGUCGCAAGAUUAAAACUCAAAGGAAUUGACGGGGACCCGCACAAGCAGUGGAUGUUAGCCAAGAUUAUUCGAUGCAACGCGAAAAACCCUACCUACCCUUGACAUGUCUGGAAUCCCGAAGAGAUUUGGGGGUGCUCGCAAAAGAACGGAACACAGGUGCUGCAGCGGCAUAUCGUCAGCUCGUCAUCGUGAAUGUUGAUUCCGAAGUCCCGCAACGAGCGCAACCCUUGUCAUUAGUUGCUACGAAGGGCACUCUAAUGAGACUGCCGGUGACAAACCGGAGGAAGGUGGGGAUGACGUCAAGUCCUCAUGGCCCUUAUGGGUAGGGCUUCACACGUCAUACAAUGAGUCGGGACAGAGGGUCGCCAGCCCGCGGGGAGCCAAUCGAAGCUGAUCGUAGUCCGGAUCGCAGUCUGCAACUCGACUGCGUGAAGUCGGAAUCGCUAGUAAUCGCGGAUCAGCAUGUCGCGGUGAAUACGUUCCGGGUCUUGUACACACCGCCCGUCACACCAUGGGAGUGGGUUUUACCAGAAGUAGUUAGCCUAACCGUAAGGAGGGCGAUUACCACGGUAGGAUUCAUGACUGGGGUGAAGUCAGCCUUUCUGAGUAG
rnacentral:rRNA from 1 species